AUUGAACGCUGGCGGCAGGCCUAACACAUGCAAGUCGAGCGGUAGCACAGGGAGCUUGCUCCUGGGUGACGAGCGGCGGACGGGUGAGUAAUGUCUGGGAAACUGCCCGAUGGAGGGGGAUAACUACUGGAAACGGUAGCUAAUACCGCAUAACGUCUUCGGACCAAAGUGGGGGACCUUCGGGCCUCACACCAUCGGAUGUGCCCAGAUCGGAUUAGCUAGUAGGUGAGGUAAAGGCUCACCUAGGCGACGAUCCCUAGCUGGUCUGAGAGGAUGACCGACCAUACUGGAACUGAGACACGGGCCAGACUCCUACGGGAGGCAGCAGUGGGGAAUAUUGCACAAUGGGCGCAAGCCUGAUGCAGCCAUGCCGCGUGUGUGAAGAAGGCCUUCGGGUUGUAAAGCACUUUCAGCGAGGAGGAAGGGUUCAAUGUUAAUAGCACUGUUCAUUGACGUUACUCGCAGAAGAAGCACCGGCUAACUCCGUGCCAGCCGCCGCGGUAAAAC
rnacentral:rRNA from 1 species